GAUGAGGUAGUGCCGACUCCGGCUCACAGGGUGGAGGUGGUCGUGAUCAGACCCGUCGCGAUCGAGGCAGACUCUGCCCCAAGCCGGUACCAGUUUCCGACCCCGGACAGCUUCGACGCGGCGAGACACGGAAAAACCGUGCACACCGACGUCGCCGCCGUUUUUUUCUAAAGAAGAUCGCGGUCACCCUGUAUUUUACCGCGCUGCCAGCUUGCGAUACGCCUGACGACUGUGCACAGACCAUGUCGCAUCUCUGUAGCGACAAGUGCCGUCCACUCGAGGACCUGCGCCGCACACGACCACGCUAAGUACAAGUCAUAGGAGGGGCAGAGGCGGCGCCUUGCACAAGUCAGCAUGUGCGAGAGGCCGAGCCCAGGUAGAAGGCGCGUUUUGGGGAGCAGGUGCUGCUGCCCGGCGGCUUCCGAGUAAGCCCCGCCCAUCCGACCCCGCCCACUCUUCAUGUCUCCACACGGUGAGACGGGAAGCUGGGGCGGAAGGGCGGGUGGCUCCGCACUCUCGUCCGUGCAUGCACAAGCGCAGGCGGUGCGCGCGCGCCGACACGCCCUUGUAUGAAAAAGGCGCGCUCUGUGCCAUCCUGGUAUGGCCCUCGGUGUAAGCGGCUCGGCCGCACCCCCCCUCCCCAAAGAGGUCGGGCCGACUGGGACGAAUGUGCCGACUCGCUUAAUGGCCUGCGUGCAACACCCCCCUCGCCCCCUUCCCUCUCACGCUAAGGAAGGAAAGGGCGUAUUCAUGUACGCACACGAGUGCAGGCUGCUCGUUCAGCUUAGAGAAGUGAAGCACCCACACACACACACACACACACACACAUGCACACCGAAGAGAAGAGAGGGGAGCUUAGGCACGGGUCAGCAGCGCAGCCUUCGCUUUUCAAGGAAACGACAGCCUGCCGAGAGGUAGGGGACGAUGCAGUGCUAAGCGCCCAACGAUUCGAUUCGGAAGGCGCUUGACAUGGUGCAGAGUGCACCCCUCCCCGUUUCUCCUCUUUCUCGACAGUGGUAUCCCUGCGCGCCCCCUCCUCCUCUUCUUCACGGGCCCGUGCACUCGCUCGGAGGACAUGCAUCGCGCGACUGCCCUCUCUUUCUCCCUGCCUCUGUCCCCCUUUCUCACACUCUCUGUGCCGCCUCCCUCUCUCACUCUUCGUCCUCCGGUGCGAACGACCCACCUGAAUGGGUAAAG
rnacentral:misc_RNA from 1 species